AUCCAGCUGAUGACUCCCAAAUAGGAUUAAACGCGCGUCAAACUGGAU
rfam:Schistosoma haematobium scaffold6724_1, whole genome shotgun sequence.